rnacentral:lncRNA from 1 species
CUCCAACCUAUGAUCUCCUUUUGUUUUUCAUACCUCUUGUCUCAAUUCUUUUCAACUUACAGUAUAGUCGGUGGAGUUCAUCAGGACACACAAGAGGCACAGAAUACCAAUGUCUUGGGAAAACCAGAAAGAGAUGUCUAAGCAGAGCAAGCCAAAAGUUCCUGGUGACCAAAGGAGGGACAAAAAAACAGACAAGAUAUAUUUUCCAAACUCAAAAAGAAAUUGUCCUUUGGAGAGAAGGUGAAGCAAGAUAGCCAAAUAGAAGCCGUCACUGAAUGCCCUCCUUGCAGGAACACCAAAGUGAACAAUUAUCCCCACAAAAACAAACUUUCACAGGGACCAAAAAUCAGGUGAGUGAUCAGAGUACCUGGUUUUAACUUCAUACCACUGAAAGAGGAACUGAAGAGGGUAAGAAAGAUUGUCUUGAGUUCCCGAUUCAAGGGAAAUCAAGAGGCCAUGCUUUCCACUUUCUCCAGCAGCAACUGUGUGUCACGGAAAGAGAAUCUACGUACUUGGAAAUAGGAGAGGGCAGUGACUGAGGGACUUUGCGUUGGAACUAAGUGCUGCCCUGUCACAAUGGACAGCAGCUCAAGGGAGAACUCAGCCAGUCUCCAUGGAAGGAGCAUUUAGACCAGCCCUAGCCACUGGAAAAUUGCCCAUCCCAGGAAUCAGAAACUGAGUUCCAGCAGGCCUGACUAUGCUCUGGUGUCCUAAAAAACAUUGAAAGGCAUUCUAGGCCACAAGGUUUACAAUUCCUGGGCAAGUCCUGGUGCUUUGCUGGGCUUGAAGCCAGUGGACUUA